CACACACAGGCGGCAGACUCCGGCCCCGUUGAAGCACCGGAGCCCGGCAUGAAGGCCAGCGUGCGGAGGCACCGACCGGCGUGGUGGCCUGCGCGGCGGCCACUACGGCGGUGCGGAGCCCCGGCCAAGGCUUCGCGUUGCACCGCCCGGAGCAACCAUGUGCAGCUUCCGGCCUCCGGCCAUGGGCGUCUGGCCAGUGCCAGAUCACGCCACGGUGGUCCAAAUCCGGAUCCGGCCGUCGUGGACCCAGAUUCGGCAGAACGGGCGCACAGCCAAGCACCAUGGCUCCCGGAGACGAAUCUCAUCGGAUGCCGCAGGCAGCAGAGGGUGCUGUUAUGCGGGUAUCGAGCAAUCCGUCUGCACGUGGAUAGAUAGAAGAGUGAUUCAAAUGCUGGAGUUAUUCGAUCUGGCAACUAGCUGCUGAUUUACACGAUGUGACCCCUUUCAUUCAACCUGCACUUGCUGAUUCUUUCUUAUUUGUGCAGUUCAUCUUGCUUUUGCAGCAACAAUUUGACUGCUUUUGAUCUCUCAUGCUACAGUGCCUUGGAUUUGGUUGAGCAGUAAUUUCAGUUCUCCACGAAAGAUCUCCCCACGAAUCUAUUUUGUUUUGCUUUCAGUGCGGCAGCUCGAUUUGUACUUCCUGGUUUGCUCUGUCCUGCUGGUUCGACAGUUUAAUUUGGUAACAGCAGCUGCAUCUCAACCAUCAGGCAAUAGAAACAGAAGCCGGGCUACUGAUUGGCCCUGUGCGCUUAGCAUCUACAAGCGGUGUGCAACUAUCAUCAGUUCUAUCUGUCAAAACCUUGUGAGUCAUUCUUUUUAUCUCAUCCACAGGUGCAGCAGCGACAGCAGCAUAUCAGCAGUUUUACUACAUCAUCACUUUGCACUUUGCAAUGCAACUCGAGCUACAUUCAGAGCACGCAUCAUCUCAUCAUAAAUUUAAUCAUUGUGAAAUAUCAUUUUAUGCUAUACUGAUGCAAUCAUGCAACUGUUGGUCACAUUAUUUAAUCACUGCUUGCUUGCUUUGGCUGGUCAUUAUUUGAAUUGAUUAGCUUUUUCACUAAAUGAACUUGAGCUCCUUUUGUAUGGCUUGUGCAUGUUACAUGUAUGGUUAAACUAAUCAAUUAUUGAUGUCAGGCCAUUGAGUUUAUAACUGUGCUAUUCCAGACUUACGGUAGUAUGGCAACCUUUCAUUUUUGAAUGUUUUAAGUAACGGCCAACUGCUAAUUAAUUUAGUAUCUUUCAUAUCUGAUCUGCAUACUUGCCCUUACUACUUCUUACAUAGUGAUUAGGAGCUUUCAAAUCAGUAAUCUUUGCUCAGUCUUUCUGCUUAUUAAAUUAAACAGUUACUGUUCAUCUGGUGGUUGCUGCAGUAAAGUAAUUACGUACAUAACUUUUGCAUGCUCAUUAGUUUAAUUCUCUUCCUUGAUCAAGUACACUCACACAUUGCUAAGCAUACUGGUAGUUGAUUAUGUGAAUGAUAAAGUUAGCUUGUUGGUAUUUGGUUCUGAUCAUGCUCUUAUUAUUUUUCUUUCUUGUAGUGUCAUCCUACUGAAGCAUUACGGCUGAAGACUUGAAGCUGGAUGAUUGCAUAUGGACUAUGGAGCAAUGGAAGUGUGAGAUUGUAAAGUAAAUUAGUUAAAAUAAUAUAAAAUUAAUGUGUGAUUCAAGUCAGUUUUGAAUUUAAAUAGUUAAAACUGUAUUGGGCUAAAGCAACAAUAGUUCUGAAGCCAACCCCAUUUCUUUUGACUCUGCAAGUCAGCUUUAGUCAGUUUUGCAAGUCAGUUUUAGUCAUUUCUUUAAAAUAAUUUUGUUUUCAUGAAGAUACACUCAAUUUUGACUCUGCUUUAUGAGCAUCAAGUUUGUUAAUCAUUAUCAUAGCCAAACUAUUUCUCUCCAAAAUUCUAAUAAAUGUUUGGCAUGCCAAAAUGAUUAGGUUGUUACUUUUGGAGUUUUUAGUUUAUUCUUUUUACUAUCUGCUACCCAUGAUGGAACCUGAAUUGUUGACAUAGAGUGGUUUGUGCUAAGACCUGCUACCCAUGAUCCACAUCACAAGGAUUCUGCUGAUUAAAUUCUUAAUAGAUACUAGCUGGUUGCCCAUUGCUACGGGUCUAUACAAGGGACAUAUUUAGGGGAAAAAGCUUCAAUAAUAUGUCUCUCUUUUUAAAUAAUGUCUGUAAAUAUGUCUCUUUUUAACCCGUAGCAACUGUGAUCAUUUCAAUUUAUGACUCUGGUUAGUUCUUAAAACCUUUCUUUUCACCCGUGGCAUUGCACGAGCAAUCAACUAUUGAUCUAUUGUCCAUUUAUUAUUUGCACAGGAAGAAAGGAAGAAGAGAAAGGAGGCUGAGACGAAAGCUAAGCUUGACGUUAUUGAAGCCAAGCAACUACAUAGAGGAGUUAAAGCCUUAGAAGAAAGGGGGGAAAAUCUAUGAGGCUGCCCUGUGGCACAGCCACCUGGUGAGCUAUCUGCGCUGAUGCCUCUCUACCUCCUGAUAAAUAUGUUCCCAAGUUUAAAUGUGAUGCAGCCAUCAGUAUUUGGUACGCCAUGCAACAAGGAAUUUUCUUUCAACCUAAAUAGAUUAUCAUCUCAUAUCAUGACAUUCUCUGAACUCCAAAUUAAAAGGUGAGUUGGUUUAAUUGCUGCUUUAUUUAGCUUCUGCUUACUGCUUACCGCUGAGUACUUAGUUUGACACUUAGUUUUUGAACCUGGGCUGAACAACUUGAGCUUAUGUGUAUGAAGAUCCAUGCGGCAAAUGCAUGCAAGGUGACUCAUGUGAAACUCUCAGCGUCAAAGGGAGUUGUUCCUCUUUACAUAUAGAGAACUGCGAGUUGAACAUCGUUUCUAUGAGAGUGCUGGUUUCCUGAAAAUUUUUGUUACUAAUUUGGUUCAUUUGGUUGUUUGAUCAGGUGGCCUCAUCUUCCGCUGCAGGUGAGAUAGGAGAUUUACUUUGAUUUCCGGAAGCAGAGGUUCAUUUAUUCAGCAGCGAGGGAACUUUUUAAACUCCGGGCAUUAUACCAAGGGCACUGCUUAAUGGUUAGGAACUGAGGCUAAGAUUAACACCUCUGUAUAAGUGGGGUAGAAGCAUGUAAAACUCUAUAUUUGAUGCCUAUAUUGCACCGGCUUAUAUUUAUGAUGUUCUACCCCUCAUUGCGGGAUGCAAGAGAUCGUCGAAUAUGCUAAUACUUAGUGAUGAUAUA